AUUUGAAUCACUGAGCUCUCUGAAAGGCUGAACCCUCUUGAAGCCUUCCUUCUGGGAAAGAAGAAACACUGACGUCUCCCGCAGAAAUCCCGUAAGUGCAGCCAAAACCCAGCAUUGCCUCCAUGAAGUACUUCGUACCUGACCACAGUUAAAAACCAGUCUGACUUCAAAGCAGAGAUAAAGG
rnacentral:lncRNA from 1 species